GGACCACCCAGUAGCUAGAUGUGGACUUUCGAGGCCUCGGACCCCGUUCCAAGUCCGACCGUCCCUUUCCAGGCCAUUGUGCCUUUCUUCGGCGUUUUGGGACGGAACCAAGAAACCGAGUCUGGGGCGUCACCGCUCGGCUUUUGUGGGCAAGAAACUUCGAGAUCACUCAGAAUCGGACCACCCAGUAGCUAGAUGUGGACUUUCGAGGCCUCGGACCCCGUUCCAAGUCCGACCGUCCCUUUCUAGGCCAUUGUGCCUUUCUUCGGCGUUUUGGAACGGAACCAAGAAACCGAGUCUGGGGCGUCACCGUUCGGCUUUUGUGGGCAAGAAACUUUGAGAUCACUCAGAAUCGGACCACCCAGUAGCUAGAUGUGGACUUUCGAGGCCUCGGGACCCCCGUUCCAAAGUCCGACCGUCCCUUUCCAGGCCAUUGUGCCUUUUUCGGCGUUUUGGGACGGAACCAAGAAACCGAGUCUGGGCGUCACCGUUCGGCUUUUGUGGGCAAGAAACUUCGAGAUCACUCAGAAUCGGACCACCCAGUAGCUAGAUGUCGACUUUCGAGGCCUCGGACCCCGUUCCAAGUCCGACCGUCCCUUUCUAGGCCAUUGUGCCUUUCUUCGGCGUUUUGGGACGGAACCAAGAAACCGAGUCUGGGGCGUCACCGUUCGGCUUUUGUGGGCAAGAAACUUCGAGAUCACUCAGAAUAGGACCACCCAGUAGCUAGAUGUGGACUUUCGAGGCCUCGGACCCCGUUCCAAGUCCGACCGUCCCUUUCCAGGCCAUUGUGCCUUUCUUCGGCGUUUUGGGACGGAACCAAGAAACCGAGUCUGCGGCGUCACCGUUCGGCGUUUUGUGGGCAAGAAACUUCGAGAUCACUCAGAAUCGGACCACCCAGUAGCUAGAUGUGGACUUUCGAGGCCUCGGACCCCGUUCCAAGUCCGACCGUCCCUUUCCAGGCCAUUGUGCCUUUCUUCGGCGUUUUAGGACGGAACCAAGAAACCGAGUCUGCGGCGUCACCGUUCGGCUUUUUGUGCGGCAAGAAACUUCGAGAUCACUCAGAAUCGGACACCCCAGUAGCUAGAUGUGGACUUUCGAGGCCUCGGACCCCGUUCCAAGUCCGACCGUCCCUUUCUAGGCCAUUGUGCCUUUCUUCGGCGUUUUGGGACGGAACCAAGAAACCGAGUCUGCGGCGUCACCGUUCGGCUUUUGUGGGCAAGAAACUUCGAGAUCACUAAGAAUGGAUCGGACCACCCAGUAGCUAGAUGUGGACUUUCGAGGCCUCGGACCCCGUUCCAAGUCCGACCGUCCCUUUCUAGGCCAUUGUGCCUUUCUUUCGGCGUUUUGGGACGGAACCAAAGAAACCGAGUCUGGCGGCGUCACCGUUCGGCUUUUGUGGGCAAGAAACUUCGAGAUCACUCAGA
rnacentral:lncRNA from 1 species